GCGAAACGAGCGUAGCUUCCUUGUCGUGUGGCCUCAGUCCUUCGCCGUCCCUCGCCGUCCUUCGCCAUCGCACGCCACCGCACCCCAUCUCUCGAAAUCUGCAGACAUCUUGAUUUUUCCCACGCUGUCUGUCAGGUCUCCGCCGCCACUCGACGCCAGGGCGCCGGGUGAGUCCACAGCAGGGCGCAUGGUCGGCUCCACUCUCACCAUCGGGGGAAACUGAGGCCCCGGGGAAGGCGGCCAGAGAGGUCAGGCCCUGUCCUUGGUGCAGUGUCUCGUCCUCUUUGCCGGAGUGAGCCCCCCAGGAUUCGCGUGUCCUCGGGAAAGACACUGGCAGGCCUUGUGGGCUGUGCUGCACCUCGGACGGCUUCGCACCAGCCAGCGCCCUCUCUCUCCUGCAGCACUCUGAUCUGCACCCCCUGAGGGGCUUCCACUGUCCGCGGGGUGAGAAUGCCCCUGGGAGUGUCACAUGACUGCCGCCCCAUGUGUGUGAGAGGCGUCCUCUGGGAGAGCAUGGAUCCUGAGGUCCCAGGUCUCAGCCUUAGAUCCAAGGACAGUCCAAGGAAGUCCUAAGACCAUGGAGUUGGUGAUCUGGGAUCUGGGUUUGCUGAUAUUUCUCACCGUGAAUCUCUUGGUGGUGUUUGUGGGCACGAGAGGGGCAGAGAAUGGAGAGUGAGGCUACCACAUGAAGCGUCACCAGAGCUGCUCCCUGCUGCCUGCUCAGAGCACCCCGGAUCCACUGUUCAAUCUGCACAAGAUUCGGGGUCCAGACAUGGGAGACUUCAGCUGCCUCAGAGGACCGUGGACAGGGAAGGCCAGCCUCGCAUCCCUCUGUCCAUGCCUGGAAUGACUUUAAUAACCAAGAGUUUUAUUUUUGAAUUUGUAGCUGUCGUUCACUUUUUACCCACCCAUUCAAUAAACCUUACAGAAUUGC
rnacentral:lncRNA from 10 species